rnacentral:lncRNA from 1 species
UGAGUUAAUGCAUGCUUAUAUAUUCAAAAUUUAACUAGAGAUAACCAAGUUUAUAUAUAGGUAUAAAAUUCAUUGAUUUUGAUAGAGAUUAUUAAUUAAUAUAGGAUCAUUGAUUUUCAACUUAUAUGAUAUAAUCGAAAACAACGGGUACUCGAGGAUUAAAGUAUGUUAAAAUGGUAUCUUGGAGAUUCUAGUAAUCUAGUGCCUUCGGUCAUUUGAUUAAUUUCAAGACUUUGUUCGUUUAUUUUUAAUUGCUUAUUUUCAUAGAUAAUUGGAUUAGUUAAAAUCAAUGUCCAAUAAAAAAUUGUUCGUGUUUUGAAUUGGAGCUUGCUUUCGUUAAAGUAAAAAUAGGUAGAUAAAUAGUCGUCAUGAAAAUGGUACUUAAUUUACCAUUUAUUAUUCGUUGUGUCCAUUUGCAUGAUAAAUUUUGACGACAAGAUUUUGGUACCAUUGUUGGAGACUAUUUUAUUUACUUUUCGUUAAUUAAUUUCAACUUUAACUUUUUCUUUUCUUUUUUCAACUAAUCUACUUGUGUUUUCUUGAUUUCAAAUUGUCACGGAACAAAAAGAAGCAAGAGUAUGUCAACAACUAGAAGCAUGUUUGAUGGAGAUUUUGUCCCGAAAAUUAUUGAGGAUGACUUGUUUGUAGGAUUAUUUCUACGCUAUCCAUGAAAAGCUCACUCGUGACGAAAGGGAAUUCUAUCCAAAAGGCAAAUUUUGGCUAGUGAAAUUGGUGAAAGAAGCCAUUACUGAUUUUAGUUGACGUUAAUGUGGAUGAUUUCCUCUUCCAAGAAUUUUGGAAACCACCGGCCACACAAAUUUUUGCCUCUACUUCUAUACUUACAGUCCGAAUUGAAAAAAAAAAAAAUUAUAUCUCAAAUUACUCAAGAGUACAACCAAUAGUGGGAAGAGGCAAUAGCUAAGUUGGCAAAUUAGCAACUGCAAUACCAAGAGCACAAUGAUGCAAAUAUGAAGAGCCUCAAGAAUCAAUGUCUAAAAUCAUCCAAUCUAUUUGCACCAUAUGCAUUAGUAAGAUCUCAUAUUGUAGCUUUGCUUCGUGAAAUAGAUAAGAAACGAACAGCUUAUUAAGUUGCUUUUUUCGCUAUUGUUGACCUCAAAAAAUGUACGUUCAGAUAACCAACAGAUCCCGAAACCUCUCACAUCUAAACAAGUCGUAUACUUGCACACUAAGACAAAUCUUUAGACACACGUGGUCUUCUCCGAUGAGGGUGGAGCCAGCCGCGCGUACUCCGAUGGUCAAAUCAGUUGGGGAAGAAGUGUAUGAAGUGUGGGAGGGCCUUUGACAUGAG